rnacentral:ncRNA from 1 species
AUUUUCAUGUUCCUUGCUUUCAAUGGGUUGCGGUUGCCCCCGACAGAAAGCUGAUUAAUCCGUAGGGAGCGAU